rnacentral:rRNA from 1 species
UACGUAGGGGGCAAGCGUUGUCCGGAUUUAUUGGGCGUAAAGAGCGUGUAGGCGGCCAGAUAGGUCAGCUGUGAAAACUCGAGGCUCAACCUCGAGAUGUCGGCUGAAACCAUCUGGCUAGAGUCCGGAAGAGGAGAAUGGAAUUCCCGGUGUAGCGGUGAAAUGCGUAGAUAUCGGAAGGAACGCCGGUGGCGAAAGCGGCGUGCUGGACCUCUUCUGACGCUGAGGCGCGAAAGCUAGGGGAGCAAACGGG